rnacentral:rRNA from 1 species
GACGAACGCUGGCGGCGUGCUUAUCACAUGCAAGUCGAACGAUGAAGCCCAGCUUGCUGGGUGGAUUAGUGGCGAACGGGUGAGUAACACGUGGGCAACCUGCCCCAAACUCUGGGAUAACUCCUCGAAAGAGGUGCUAAUACCGGAUACGAACUAGACAGACAUCUGUACUAGUUGGAAAGUUUUUCGGUUUGGGAUGGGCCCGCGGCCUAUCAGCUUGUUGGUGAGGUAACGGCUCACCAAGGCUACGACGGGUAACCGGCCUGAGAGGGCGACCGGCCACACUGGGACUGAGACACGGCCCAGACUCCUACGGGAGGCAGCAGUGGGGAAUUUUGGACAAUGGGGGCAACCCUGAUCCAGCAAUGCCGCGUGAGUGAAGAAGGCCUUCGGGUUGUAAAGCUCUUUUGUCAGGGAAGAAACAGCAGCUCUAACACAGUUUGCGAAUGACGGUACCUGAAGAAUAAGCACCGGCUAACUACGUGCCAGCAGCCGCCGUAA